CCUUUCGGACCUCAGAUCAGGCAAGGCUACCCGCUGAAUUUAAGCAUAUUAAUAAGCGGAGGAAAAGAAACUAACAAGGAUUCCCCCAGUAACGGCGAGUGAAGCGGGAAGAGCUCAAAUUUGAAAUCUCCGAUGCCUGCAUCGGCGAGUUGUACUUGCGAGAAGCACUUUCUAGGCGGAAGGGCCCUGCCUAAGUUGCUUGGAACGGCACGUCGCAGAGGGUGACAACCCCGUCUGUGGCAGGGCCGGCCGCCCACGAUGUGCUUUCGAAGAGUC
rnacentral:rRNA from 1 species